GGGCAGACGGGGUGAGUAAAUGUAUAGGGAAAUCUACCUAGUAGUACGGAAUAAUUGUUGGAAACGGCAACUAAUACCGUAUACGCCCUACGGGGGAAAAAUUUAUUGCUAUUAGAUGAGCCUAUAUUAGAUUAGCUAGUUGGUGGAGUAAUAGCCUACCAAGGCAAUGAUCUAUAGCUGAUCUGAGAGGAUGAUCAGCCACACUGGAACUGAGAUACGGUCCAGACUCCUACGGGAGGCAGCAGUGGGGAAUAUUGGACAAUGGGCGAAAGCCUGAUCCAGCCAUGCCGCAUGAGUGAAGAAGGCCUUUGGGUUGUAAAGCUCUUUUAGUGAGGAAGAUAAUGACGGUACUCACAGAAGAAGUCCUGGCUAACUCCGUGC
rnacentral:rRNA from 1 species